UUUCGUUUCUUUUCUUUGUCCUUUCUUUCUCAAAAUGGAAGGUAAGGAGAAGGAGAAGGGAAGGAAGGUCAAAGGAAGGGCAAAGGAAAUAGACAAGGAAGAAAAG
rnacentral:ribozyme from 13 species